GUUGAACGCUGGCGGCAUGCCUUACACAUGCAAGUCGAACGGCAGCACGGGAGCAAUCCUGGUGGCGAGUGGCGAACGGGUGAGUAAUAUAUCGGAACGUGCCCAGUCGUGGGGGAUAACGUAGCGAAAGCUACGCUAAUACCGCAUACGAUCUAUGGAUGAAAGCGGGGGAUCGCAAGACCUCGCGCGAUUGGAGCGGCCGAUAUCAGAUUAGGUAGUUGGUGGGGUAAAAGCUCACCAAGCCGACGAUCUGUAGCUGGUCUGAGAGGACGAACAGCCACACUGGGACUGAGACACGGCCCAGACUCCUACGGGAGGCAGCAGUGGGGAAUUUUGGACAAUGGGCGCAAGCCUGAUCCAGCAAUGCCGCGUGCAGGAUGAAGGCCUUCGGGUUGUAAACUGCUUUUGUACGGAGCGAAAAGGCUUCCAUUAAUACUGGGGGCUCAUGACGGUACCGUAAGAAUAAGCACCGGCUAACUACGUGCCAGCCGCCGCCGUAAUAC
rnacentral:rRNA from 1 species